GAUGAACGCUGGCGGCGUGCUUAACACAUGCAAGUCGAACGAAGCACUUAUCUUUGAUUCUUCGGAUGAAGAGGUUUGUGACUGAGUGGCGGACGGGUGAGUAACGCGUGGGUAACCUGCCUCAUACAGGGGGAUAACAGUUAGAAAUGACUGCUAAUACCGCAUAAGACCACAGAGCCGCAUGGCUCAGUGGGAAAAACUCCGGUGGUAUGAGAUGGACCCGCGUCUGAUUAGGUAGUUGGUGGGGUAACGGCCUACCAAGCCGACGAUCAGUAGCCGACCUGAGAGGGUGACCGGCCACAUUGGGACUGAGACACGGCCCAAACUCCUACGGGAGGCAGCAGUGGGGAAUAUUGCACAAUGGGGGAAACCCUGAUGCAGCGACGCCGCGUGAGCGAAGAAGUAUUUCGGUAUGUAAAGCUCUAUCAGCAGGGAAGAAAAUGACGGUACCUGACUAAGAAGCACCGGCUAAAUACGUGCCAGCCGCCGCGGUAA
rnacentral:rRNA from 1 species